rnacentral:rRNA from 1 species
AUUGAACGCUGGCGGCAUGCCUUACACAUGCAAGUCGAACGGUAACGGGCCUUCGGGUGCCGACGAGUGGCGAACGGGUGAGUAAUACAUCGGAACGUGCCCGAUCGUGGGGGAUAACGAGGCGAAAGCUUUGCUAAUACCGCAUACGAUCUACGGAUGAAAGCAGGGGACCGCAAGGCCUUGCGCGGACGGAGCGGCCGAUGGCAGAUUAGGUAGUUGGUGGGAUAAAAGCUUACCAAGCCGACGAUCUGUAGCUGGUCUGAGAGGAUGAACAGCCACACUGGGACUGAGACACGGCCCAGACUCCUACGGGAGGCAGCAGUGGGGAAUUUUGGACAAUGGGCGCAAGCCUGAUCCAGCCAUGCCGCGUGCAGGAUGAAGGCCUUCGGGUUGUAAACUGCUUUUGUACGGAACGAAAAGCCUUCUUUUAUUACAGGAGGGUCAUGACGGUACCGUAAGAAUAAGCACCGGCUAACUACGUG